rnacentral:tRNA from 3 species
GCGGGUGUCGUAUAAUGGUUAUUAUUCCAGUUUUCCAAACUGGUAACGGGAGUUCGAUUCUCCCCACCCGCUCAA